rnacentral:rRNA from 1 species
UGGGGAAUAUUGCACAAUGGGCGCAAGCCUGAUGCAGCCAUGCCGCGUGUAUGAAGAAGGCCUUCGGGUUGUAAAGUACUUUCAGCGGGGAGGAAGGGAGUAAAGUUAAUACCUUUGCUCAUUGACGUUACCCGCAGAAGAAGCACCGGCUAACUCCGUGCCAGCAGCCGCGGUAAUACGGAGGGUGCAAGCGUUAAUCGGAAUUACUGGGCGUAAAGCGCACGCAGGCGGUUUGUUAAGUCAGAUGUGAAAUCCCCGGGCUCAACCUGGGAACUGCAUCUGAUACUGGCAAGCUUGAGUCUCGUAGAGGGGGGUAGAAUUCCAGGUGUAGCGGUGAAAUGCGUAGAGAUCUGGAGGAAUAACGGUGGCGAAGGCGGCCCCCUGGACGAAGACUGACGCUCAGGUGCGAAAGAGUGGGGAGCAAACAGG